GCGCUGAUAGCUCAGCAGGAUAGAGCGCGUGACUACGAAUCAUGAGGUCGGGAGUUCGAAUCUUCCUCAGCGCACCA
rnacentral:tRNA from 2 species